GACGAACGCUGGCGGCGUGCCUAAUACAUGCAAGUCGAACGGGAGCGCCCGGUGCUUGCACUGGUCAAUCUAGUGGCGAACGGGUGAGUAACACGUGGGUAACCUGCCCAUCAGAGGGGGAUAACAUUCGGAAACGGAUGCUAAAACCGCAUAGGUCUUCGAACCGCAUGGUUUGAAGAGGAAAAGAGGCGCAAGCUUCUGCUGAUGGAUGCACCCGCGGUGCAUUAGCUAGUUGGGGAGGUAACGGCUCACCAAGUCCGUGAUACAUAGCCGACCUGAGGGGGUGAUCGGCCACAUUGGGACUGAGACACGGCCCAAACGCCUACGGGAGGCAGCAGUAGGGAAUCUUCCGCAAUGGACGCAAGUCUGACGGAGCAACGCCGCGUGAGUGAAGAAGGUUUUCGGAUCGUAAAACUCUGUUGUUAGAGAAGAAUAAGUGCUAGAGUAACUGUUAGCGCCUUGACGGUAUCUAACCAGAAAGCCACGGCUAACUACGUG
rnacentral:rRNA from 1 species